UAAAGGAGUAAAAUAAUGUGGAACUGGAAAUAUAUGCAUGAAUCAUGAAUGGGUGUAAAAAAGACGAUAGCCAAGUGGCUCUGGAUUCUGGAACUUCUUGAAUUUCUGGUUCACGAUGAAGUCGAGGAGAUUUGGCUGCGCCUGAGGAAGGAAUGAUAAAACUAUAUCGGAUAUAGGCAGCUUUGCCUAUAUUAUGGGCAAUUUUGUCAUUUCAAAUAAUUUAGUAAGAUGGAAUGCAAAAGCAAGGGAAUGGGGUAUUCCCCCUCAUUCCAUAAGUUAGUUCAAUCUCUCUCCUCAACCUCACUCCUCAACCUCAGUCAUCAUCCCACCCACCGGAACCGGAAGGUUUGAAGCCGGAAAGAGGCGUAACUGUGUUUUUUCGUGAAUUGAAGCCGAUAGUUUAAUGCAAGUCAGGGGUGGUGGAGGAAGAUUUCACAGCGAAAUGGAUAAAUAACAAUGACAUGUUCGUUGUAUUUUGCGCGUCGGAUUGCUUUCUUUUGUAACGAUCUAAUGCAAGUGUAAUUUUAAGUACCUCACUUAGCAUUCUAAUGGUUGUAUGGAUAAUGUUAAGUACUUUGUAUGAAUAUGUGAACUUAUCAUUUUGUAUUUAAAAUGAAGCAUCAUAUUGUGUUUAUCA